rnacentral:rRNA from 1 species
CGGACGGGUGAGUAAUGUCUGGGAAACUGCCCGAUGGAGGGGGAUAACUACUGGAAACGGUAGCUAAUACCGCAUAACGUCGCAAGACCAAAGAGGGGGACCUUCGGGCCUCUUGCCAUCGGAUGUGCCCAGAUGGGAUUAGCUAGUAGGUGGAGGACGCUACCUAGGCGACGAUCCCUAGCUGGUCUGAGAGGAUGACCAGCCACACUGGAACUGAGACACGGUCCAG